AUCAGCAUCCCUGAUUCAGAAGAAUCUAAGAAAACUUAGCACAGAAGCUACUUCUUAGUAUCUUGAAGCGGGUCUUGGCACCUGGUGCUUCCUCUCAGGAAUGCUCAUCCCCCAGGGAUUGCUUCACUGCAUUGGGAAAACCAUCUGCUCAGGGCACCACAAUCACAGCAGAGGGCUUUGGAAUAAAGAUAUCAUCCAUCACUGCGGUCUGAGUCUCUGCAGCCAGGAC